CUUUAAGAGGUGGUGGUUCUCUCUGUGUGUACCUGGCCAUGCUGGGCAUUGGGAUGUUGCAUCUUGUAUCAGGGUUGUGCUGGCUGAGCAAAGCCUGGGCUAGGCUGUCAGCCCUCGUGCCACUCUGAGAAGCCAGAAGAACACGCCAAUGGAAAUUACAGCCCUUCAGAAGCCAUCCCCCAGCACCUCCCUCCUGGCUAUGCUGAGGCUGCUUAUGGGAAUGCCCCGGGACAGCACAGCACAGCAGGCAGAACCCCUGCUUCCUGGAAGAGGAUCAGCAACACCUCCCCUAAAAACAGAGCUGGCUGCUCUGGGAGGAGGCACAAUGCCUGAGGGCCCGUGGGCAUCAGGAUAUGUGUCCAGGUUCAUAAACAGCCUAAUCCCUCCACCUUGUGUUUCCCUGAACAACCUUGACACAGACACAAUCUUCCUCUCAAUGGGGUCAUGCUGUCAUACCCUGCCUUACAGAGGAUUUCUCCUUGCUUGCGGGUUUAGUCUGUGGUAUCCUCUUGGGAGGACCUAAGCAUGGGUAUAGCUGGGGAUCCAUCCUCCUCUGAUGGCGUGUUAUUUCACUGUGCUUUCUGGAGAUAUAUUUUCACUUUUUUUUCCUCCCAGACUGUCCAGUAUAUAAUUAAUGUUGCUUUACAUGGUAAAGAGAAAGCAGAGCUAAAACUGUAAUAUAUUUUUCUUGUUCAAUGGUAAAUAUAUAUAUAUAUUAAUCAAAGUGUACGUCUGCAAUCUUAUAGAGCAUAGUCUCUCUAAAAGAUUUUAUGGUUAUUUAAGAGGAAUGUGGGCUGUAAAGAAAUGUAAGUUUAU